rnacentral:rRNA from 1 species
UGAGUGGCGGACGGGUGAGUAACGCGUGGGUAACCUGCCCCAUACAGGGGGAUAACAGUUAGAAAUGACUGCUAAUACCGCAUAAGACCACAGCACCGCAUGGUGCAGGGGUAAAAACUCCGGUGGUAUGGGAUGGACCCGCGUCUGAUUAGCUAGUUGGCGGGGUAACGGCCUACCAAGGCGACGAUCAGUAGCCGACCUGAGAGGGCGACCGGCCACAUUGGGACUGAGACACGGCCCAAACUCCUACGGGAGGCAGCAUG